rnacentral:rRNA from 1 species
ACGCACGCUGGCGGCGUGCUUAACACAUGCAAGUCGAACGGUGAAGCGCCUUCCUUUUUGGUGGGUGUGGAUGAGUGGCGAACGGGUGAGUAACACGUGAGUAACCUGCCCCCUUCUUCUGGAUAACCGCAUGAAAGUGUGGCUAAUACGGGAUAUUCUGGGUCUGUCGCAUGAUGGGUCUGGGAAAGAUAUUGUUUCGGUGGGGGAUGGGCUCGCGGCCUAUCAGCUUGUUGGUGGGGUGAUGGCCUACCAAGGCGGUGACGGGUAGCCGGCCUGAGAGGGUGGACGGUCACACUGGGACUGAGACACGGCCCAGACUCCGACGGGAGGCAGCAGUGGGGAAUAUUGCACAAUGGGCGCAAGCCUGAUGCAGCGACGCCGCGUGAGGGAUGGAGGCCUUCGGGUUGUGAACCUCUUUCGCCAGUGAAGCAGGCCUGCCUCGUUUGUGGGUGGGUUGACGGUAGCUGGAGAAGAAGCGCCGGCUAACUACGUG